UCUGGAUUUGUUUUUCAUUUA
rnacentral:piRNA from 1 species